ACCAUGGGGUUAUGGAGUAAACGC
rnacentral:siRNA from 1 species